ACACAAAGGAGCAUCAUUUCCCUAUCUCUGCCCGCCUUUCCCUCAGGGACAACUACUACAAAGGGGCUGUCUUUUCUAAGAUAUGUCGAGGCCUGAAAACCCACUAACUGUUUGAAAUCCAGGAAAACCACGAGUGGAAAUUUUCAAACUAUAAGGAAGAGUGUCCUGAUAUCUGCUCCAAUCCUGCUUACAAUUUGCUAUCUGCCAGAUUCCCAAGGAAAGUGCUAGAUGCAGGCGUACAGAUGUGUGUAGCAGUACAACAUGUAUUCAUAAGGAAUUAUUGGCUCAUGUCAAUAAAACCCAAGUGUGACAAGUAUCAGGCUUCUGAAACAUCAAAAAAACAGGAACAUCCAAGAACUCCACCUACAAUAACCUUUAUUUCUGUAACAGUUGCACAUAGAAAAUCCUUCAUUCAAAAGCUCUUUGGUCUAUGAUGAUUGCAUGAUAAAAUACUUACAAAUAUUAUUAAAACAACACAGCUCCUUUCCUGAGACACAGCACUGCAUACAGUGUGUCACAGUAAGUGUUGGACUGAACAAUUUAUACUGAAGAACCAAAGACAAUUAAAGCAUUAUGAGAGUGUGCCGUCCAUAGUUAUUAAUGCUCAUAAUAUUUUGGAAAACCAAGCUCAUUGCUAUGUACUUAAAUACCUGAAAAUACAUGUGUGAUAUACUGCUUAUACUAGAGAAUUUCUGACGUUUGAUGUUUUGAAUUGAUGUUUAGAUAUGUUAUGUGCUUUGAGACUUACAGAAAGAAACACAAAACUUAAUCUGAAUAAUUCAAUGAUUAACAAAAGAUUGAACAAAUGUAUGUAGUAGAAACAUGGGUAAGACAGAUUCAUGGAGGUAGGGACAGAACUUUUUGGUAACAUCUACAGAUUAAAACAAUGUCUUGAGUAGAAGUAUCACAUCCAGACAUACACAAUUACCAAAACUAAAUUAAAACAUCAUUAAAAUCAAACAUUUAAAAUCAGUGAGAUACAAGAAUUAUAGCUAUCAGGAAGGCCUCCUUCCAGCGCUUUAUGUGUACUAGUUAUGAUACAGUCUAAUUGUGAACAUGUAUUCUUUCUUUUGCCUGCCUUGUCAAUAGGUUAUGCAGAUACAGUCUUCAAGCCCAUGGCAUAGAUUUUGGCCAGCAGAUAUAGAGAAGUAGCAGACAUGAGCCAUUAUCCAUCAGUCAGAUGGCUCUCUAGAGGAGGAAACAAUGUACAUUUGUUCUGUUAUUUGCAGCUGUUUAGAAGAUAGCAAUGAGGUGCUGAAAUUUCUACCCCACAAGGGGAAUGUUGAUCUAAGUUUGAAACUACUUAAAGACAGCUUAGUCAAACACAUAUAAUUGGCAGAUGUUUGAUGUUUUUGAAAAGCAGCAGAAAGUGGUUUACAUUUCAGUCUAUCAUAUGGGAAAUUUAGGAGCCGUUCCAAAUUCUGAGACCUUGUGUGACAUCUCAGUUAUCUAGUUUGUCAAAUGAAACCACUGGUCAUCGCCUACUUAAGAGUGUACAGUAAUGUUACUAUUACAAAAAUAUAGUAGUAGGACUUGGGCUAGACCAGAAGAAAUUCUUUCUCUACUUGCUACAGACCAAUGCAAAAAAAAAAAAAAAAAAAAAAAAAAGACGCUUUGGCAGGUAUCACAUUUGCAAAAAUCAAUGGCAUGUUCUAUAUCCCAUUCACUAGUGAUGCUGCAGCAAAACUGAAAUAAUUAUUCACAUGUGGUAUUCUCUCUCAGAAAACUGCUGUAGUAGUUAUUAAAUUAUAACAGCACAGAGGUAACACUUAUUAUCAAUAUUAUUAGCAACACCAUUUUGGCAACCUGGAAGGAAGCAUGAACUGGCAGAAACCAAAAUUUUCAGAAACUGGAGUGUUGUCUGUGGUGGCAGUCUGUGGUGGCAGUAUUCUCAGUAAUGGCAACCCCUUCCAAAAUAAUGUUAGAAAUGGGGUGUGGGACUCAUCCAUCUAGAUUUUAAUAUCAUAAGAACAAAUCAACCAAAUCCUUCUUGAUGGAGUCAAAGGAAAAGUAAGGUUCUCACACUACUGUUUUGUGGUCCUAGAUUAGGCAUCUAUAACAGGACAAUGGAUUAUAGCCUAAGUGUACCUGUUUCUUUCCACUGUUUGUGAAUUACUGUUUAGGUAUCUAGCUCAGAUGUAGAGAUAGUUUACAUGUUCUACAUAUUCAAUCUGGAAUAUGUGCCUAGAGCUAGCCUGUGUGGCACAAGUUCUACAGCUUCCUGCAGAGGCAGAAGGAGUUCAAGAGAUUAGGCAGUAUUCUUAAAUUGCCAUCUAAACAGGCAGUAGAUAAUUAUGCUUGGGAAGUAUACUCACACAGAUGAAGUUAGAUGGAGAAUCUUAUCCUCAUUGUUUCAUUUCAUCCAUGCAAAGACUGGAGGCUCUCUUCAUUAGAGUCAUUAGGCCAUUUGCAGGAAUAACUAUCAUAUCACUAGGCCUUAGUUUUGUUUACUUACAUUUUCUGUAAUACAUCAUAAAAUUCUUCACAUUGAGUCCAGAGAGAACAGGCUGAGGUCUCUGGUGAUUGAAAAUCAUUUGGGGCUGUUAAGCUGACAGAAAGUUCAAACUGGUAUUCUUCACCAUGUACUGUUUCUGAGUAUGGUGAAAACCUUUUGUGAUGAUGUUUUAAAGAGAAUGUUUUGUUCAAGUGACUUGUGGCCUCAGAAAACAAGCACUAGUUUCACCAAAAAAAAAAAAAGCAAGGAGGUAUGUUACAGGAAAACAAAAAUUAUGCAACAUCAGGCACAACCUCUUCAUCAUUGCCGUCUAAAUGAAUCUCUGUAGGGAAAUGUAAAUACAGAAGCCAUUAAAGACUAGUCAAUGUAUGUUUUAGGUCUCUAAACAAUAACACCAAGCAGAUCAGUAAUGGAGCCUUUCAUAAUUUGCAGUCUGCAGAAACAAGGAACUUCUGUUGUUUUUAUUAUCAGAUAGCAGCAUUCCUGCCUAGAAAUCCAAAUACAACAGAAACUCCACUGCUCUGUGCCAUUAUUUUGGUCAUGAAUAGGGGCUCUGUGUAAGAUCAGCAUGAUACGUACAGCUAGGAGGACACUAUGCUUCUGAAACUUAAGUAGGAAACUUGACUCUGACUCUGCUGAUGAACGUCUCAUAGGUUCAGACUCUAAGUCUCUAUAUUUACUAUUUUAUUUUUUCUUCAGCUGAGUCCAUUUCAUUUGUAAUAUACCUAUAGGAUUACUAUAUGUAUCCUCAAGUAUGACAGCACACAUGCAAUAAAUAUCAUGGUAUUAUUGCUACCUUUUGUGAAAAAUAUUUUGCUUGGGAACACAAAUGCACAAGUCCAUUAUUUAGGUGUGGUGUUUUAAAUAGGUAUUGGUUGUGGUUACAUGAUUCAUUGCAAAAUGAUCUAUUAUCGCAAUACAACUGUAGGCUUGUUAAAAUUACUUGGAAUUCAAUAUGAAAGUAAAUACAUGAAUAAGCUAAAUUGUAAAUGGUGCAAUUCUUAAAAUACAUUAAUAACUUAGACUACUAACUCUACAUGCAAACAUAUAUAUUUAGAUGUAUGAAAAUUAUCUGGUGAAAUAAUUCAAGUUGGUAAAGUAUCAUGGAGAUCAGAUUGCCAUGUCAUUAAAACUAAAUCACUCUGUGGUGUUUUGUUGUUGUUGUUGUUGUUGUUUGUUCUUUUUUUUUUUUUUUUUCUGUAAGUGGAAUCUGCACAGCGAUCCCUAUCUAGGCACUAACAGUGAGACUGAAGCACAGUGAACAGGAAGAGUCCCAUGGAGUCCAGAUAGAUUUGUUUCACCCCUGAGGCACUAAAACUGCAGCAAGCUUCAUACACAGAGGAACUGCAACUUCAUGGGGUGUACAAAUCCACUAACUCUCCUACCACAGAGGGGCCAGGAGACUGGGAAAAUGUGGGGCAGAGAUGCUCGGUGCUGGUUAGAUAUGACGCAGCUCAGGCUGCUUGCAGAACCAUUACAAUCACAUAUAUCCUGAGUACCUGUAUAUAACAUGAAGCUGGAAAUCAGACCAACAUUGCACACCUUCCUAUGGACCUUCCUUCUAAAUCCCUCAUACCUCUGGCUUUGCUAUAUGGGGUUCCACUUUAUGGUGAAGACAUGCCUCCAAAGGAAGAGUACUGUACAGAAUUAUUCUGGGAAGCCUGAUCAUCUCGUUUUUUUUUUUUUUCACUUCCUGGUUUGACUAAUCAGCCAGUCCAAAUGGAUACUGAUAUGCCAAUUUUUAUUGGUUAAGGAGCUGAUUUGUUAGAGUCUAUAGCUCGUACUCCUGGGGCUCUCCAAAAGCCUAGUGCCAUUAGGAUGACCCACACUUAUAGGUGAAAGCUUGUAAAAUUAGGGCCUUCGUCUACUACUGACAUUGUCAUUUGAUCAGAGUAGUUUUUAAAAUGAUUCCUUCAUAUGGCUGCUACAGCAUAUUUAUGUCAUAUAAAUGCCCUAGAUUAAUGAGAAACUUAUCGUAGUGUCUAAUUAUACAUAUGAGCAUAUUUUAAAUCAAUGAAAC
ensembl:lncRNA